rnacentral:miRNA from 2 species
AUAGGCACCAAAAAGCAACAA